CAGCCGCCGCGGGAAAACGGAGGGUGCAAGCGUUAAUCGGAAUUACUGGGCGUAAAGCGCACGCAGGCGGUCUGUCAAGUCAGAUGUGAAAUCCCCGGGCUUAACCUGGGAACUGCAUUUGAAACUGGCAGGCUAGAGUCUUGUAGAGGGGGGUAGAAUUCCAGGUGUAGCGGUGAAAUGCGUAGAGAUCUGGAGGAAUACCGGUGGCGAAGGCGGCCCCCUGGACAAAGACUGACGCUCAGGUGCGAAAGCGUGGGGAGCAAACAGGAUUAGAUACCCGUGUAGUCCCUGUCUCUUAUAC
rnacentral:rRNA from 1 species